AGAGACAGCAGUCGCCGCGGUAAUACGGAGGGUGCAAGCGUUAAUCGGAAUUACUGGGCGUAAAGCGCACGCAGGCGGUCUGACAAGUCAGAUGUGAAAUCCCCGGGCUUAACCUGGGAACUGCAUUUGAAACUGUCAGGCUGGAGUCUUGUAGAGGGGGGUGGAAUUCCAGGUGUAGCGGUGAAAUGCGUAGAGAUCUGGAGGAAUACCGGUGGCGAAGGCGGCCCCCUGGACAAAGACUGACGCUCAGGUGCGAAAGCGUGGGGAGCAAACAGGAUUAGAUACCCGCGUAGUCCCUGUCUCUUAUAA
rnacentral:rRNA from 1 species